CCUACGGGUGGCAGCAGUGGGGAAUAUUGGACAAUGGGGGCAACCCUGAUCCAGCCAUGCCGCGUGUGUGAAGAAGGCCCUCGGGUUGUAAAGCACUUUCAGUGAGGAAGAACGCCUGGUGGUUAAUACCCAUCAGGAAAGACAUCACUCACAGAAGAAGCACCGGCUAACUCCGUGCCAGCAGCCGCGGUAAUACGGAGGGUGCGAGCGUUAAUCGGAAUUACUGGGCGUAAAGCGCGCGUAGGUGGCUUGAUAAGCCGGUUGUGAAAGCCCCGGGCUCAACCUGGGAACGGCAUCCGGAACUGUCAAGCUAGAGUGCAGGAGAGGAAGGUAGAAUUCCCGGUGUAGCGGUGAAAUGCGUAGAGAUCGGGAGGAAUACAAGUGGCGAAGGCGGCCUUCUGGACUGACACUGACACUGAGGUGCGAAAGCGUGGGUAGCAAACAGGAUUAGAUACCCCAGUAGUC
rnacentral:rRNA from 1 species